ACGGAAGGCAGCAGUGGGGAAUAUUGGGCAAUGGGCGCAAGCCUGACCCAGCAACGCCGCGUGAAGGAAGAAGGCUUUCGGGUUGUAAACUUCUUUUACCAGGGACGAAGGACGUGACGGUACCUGGAGAAAAAGCCACGGCUAACUACGUGCCAGCAGCCGCGGUAAUACGUAGGUGGCAAGAGUUGUCCGGAUUUACUGGGUGUAAAGGGCGCGUAGGCGGGAGUGCAAGUCAGAUGUGAAAUCCCGGGGCUCAACCCCGGAACUGCAGUUGAAACUGUAGCCCUUGAGUAUCGGAGAGGCAAGCGGAAUUCCUAGUGUAGCGGUGAAAUGCGUAGAUAUUAGGAGGAACACCAGUGGCGAAGGCGGCUUGCUGGACGACAACUGACGCUGAGGCGCGAAAGCGUGGGGAGCGAACAGGAUUAGAUACCCUGGUA
rnacentral:rRNA from 1 species